rnacentral:rRNA from 1 species
AUGGAUGAGGUCACAAGGGGUAUACAAGGAGAUAUCCCAUGGUGUAUGCUCUUUGCGGAUGAUGUGGUGCUAGUUAACGAUAGUCGGACGGGGGUAAAUAGGAAGUUAGAGUUAUGGAGACAAACCUUGGAAUCGAAAGGGUUUAGGCUUAGUAGUACUAAAACCGAGUACAUGAUGUGCGGUUUCAGUACUACUAGCUGUGAGGAGGAGGAGGUUAGCCUUGAUGGCCAGGUGGUACCUCGAAAGGACACCUUUCGGUAUUUAGGGUCAAUGUUGCAGGAGGAUGGGGGUAUUGAUGAAGAUGUGAACCAUCGAAUCAAAGCCGGAUGGAUGAAGUGGCGCCAAGCUUCUGGCAUUCUCUGUGACAAGAGAGUGCCACAAAAGCUAAAAGGCAAGUUCUACAGGACGACGGUUUGA